GUGUUUCCUGGUCUGCUGACAUGCAGUGAGCAUCCUCAGGCUCCUGCUGCUAUGCCUUCUUCACUGUGAUGGCCUGUGCUCUCAAACAAUGAGAGAGUCCAAGAUGGCUUUAGUAGCAGACAGAUUUUUCUUUAAGAAUGCACUGGAAGCAGGGGCAAGGUAUGACCAUUCCAGCAGCGUCAUGGAGGAAAUGAUGGAGCCCAGACCAUCAGAAAUUAUUUACGCUAGAGAUUACAGUCAUCCUCAAAUCUGAAUUGAUCCUCAGGUGUGUACUGCCUGCAUCCAGCUACCCUUGUGCUCUGUCUUGCUCAUUCUCAAAUCUACAGAAUCAGUCUUGAACUUGAAGGAGGGAAAUAUGGAGACACCGGCUGGGUAGUGAAGGCCACCUUCUCUCAAAGUUCACAGAGUCAAGGUUUUGUUUUACUGCUUAUGAAGGCUGGAAACUUUAGUCAAAGGGAAUAAUUCCAAGGAAUAUAUAGUGUUUUACAUGGGUUGUGUUAAAUAACGCAGAAGACAUUCCUGGCACACAUGAGGUAGAGUGCCAAGGAUCUGACCAUGGCCAGAUGCUAGGGAUGGUCUUCUAUUGCCAUCUGUUUUCUCAUUUUCUUAGCAAAUACUAUACUUAUUCAUUAGAAAA
rnacentral:lncRNA from 1 species